rnacentral:rRNA from 1 species
GGGGGGUCAUAACUGGCAGUCGAGCGAGCUUGCCUAGAUGAUUUUAGUGCCUGCACUAAAUGAAACUAGAUACAAGCGAGCGGCGGACGAGUGAGUAACACGUGGGUAACCUGCCCAAGAGACUGGGAUAACACCUGGAAACAGAUGCUAAUACCGGAUAACAACACUAGACGCAUGUCUAGAGUUUGAAAGAUGGUUCUGCUAUCACUCUUGGAUGGACCUGCGGUGCAUUAGCUAGUUGGUAAGGUAACGGCUUACCAAGGCAAUGAUGCAUAGUCGAGUUGAGAGACUGAUCGGCCACAUUGGGACUGAGACACGGCCCAAACUCCUACGGGAGGCAGCAGUAGGGAAUCUUCCACAAUGGACGAAAGUCUGAUGGAGCAACGCCGCGUGAGUGAAGAAGGGUUUCGGCUCGUAAAGCUCUGUUGGUAGUGAAGAAAGAUAGAGGUAGUAACUGGCCUUUAUUUGACGGUAAUUACUUAGAAAGUCACGGCUAACUACGUGCCAGCAGCCGCGGUAAUACGUAGGUGGCAAGCGUUGUCCGGAUUUAUUGGGCGUAAAGCGAGUGCAGGCGGUUCAAUAAGUCUGAUGUGAAAGCCUUCGGCUCAACCGGAGAAUUGCAUCAGAAACUGUUGAACUUGAGUGCAGAAGAGGAGAGUGGAACUCCAUGUGUAGCGGUGGAAUGCGUAGAUAUAUGGAAGAACACCAGUGGCGAAGGCGGCUCUCUGGUCUGCAACUGACGCUGAGGCU